CCUCGGGGAGUGACAGUGACCUCGUUUUGUUUCUCUUAACGUAGUAGCUUGUACGUAUGUCUAUGUCCCUCUUUUGUGUAUGUGUUAUUAUUUUGUUUUAUGCCAAUCCGGAAUGCAUAAAGAAACGAGUUGAUGUUACACUUCGUAUAUGACAUGAAUAAUGUUUCUUUUUCUUUCUCCUCCAUCCACGUCGUCUACCACCCUGGGCCAGCGGCUUGUUCCACAACUUUCACGUGUUCUCUUCUGCCCCUUUCCAAGUCGAGUCGGCGAAACGACUGGGCUGGGAGACAAAAACAAACCCAAGCUGCCACGGAGACAAGACAAGACACCGACUUUCCUCUAAAAACGUUCGUUCUACCCAUAGCCGAUCUUUCGUUCGUUCGUUCGUUCGUUCGUCUGCAGAGGAGGAACUUGGUCUGUGUGGUGUGGUGGUCCGUGUCCGUCCGUCGUCCUUGCUUUCUCUCCGUCCUCUUCUCUUCCGAGAGGAGAGGAGGAACAUCGUCCGUAGUAGCCAAGACAACAUAGUCGUUCGUUAAGUCCAACCGUCGUCCCGCGUUUUAAAAACCCCUAAAAAGGAACACGUUAGUCUUGGUUCUAACGUCUGCCCGUACGCGGCCCAAGCUCAGAGCAGGGUGGUGAGAGGUCAGGUCUUCGACCCGCUAAGCGUGUACUUCGACUGCGGGUUCAAGGCCGAGUGGCGGCCGUGGUGGAGUAGUGGCAGGAGGGUCGGCCUCGUUAGAGUUGGAGGUACCCUCUGCGGGGAGUAGGGCCCGGAGGGCCUGCUGCGCCGCGAGUUGACGGACGAGGCCGACGGUCACCUCCGGGUGCCGCGGACGUCCGACCACACGGCGGCGACCGCGGUGGAGGACCGGCUGUUCCGCGCGAAGAAGUGCGUGGCGUCCCGGUACCCGGAGGCGAGCGGGACCGAGAAGUGCGAGCGGAAGGUGGCGACGUGCCCGUUCUAUGUCACCUUCCACGACCUGGAGCUGGCGGACCGGACCGUGCGGUAGGGGCCGUACGGGACGGCCCUGGCCCGGACGGGGGCGCCGAAGCCGACGUAGCGGCAGGGGCCGCUGCCGCGGGACGAGCAGACGCCGCCCGACCAGAGGCUGUACCUGACAGGCGACGUGGAGCACGAGUCCAUGCUGCAAAUGUUCUUGGCGACCUGGCAGUACCGGGCCUACGAGAGCCGCGCGAGGAAGAAGCGGCCGCCGCAGUAGCUGCCGGCGCACAUGCAGCGGCCCCCUAUGUCGUGCCUGGUCAAGCUCGACCUGAGCCGCCUCCAAGAACUAGGCCACUUGCCGCAGACCGUCGGCCAGCGGUCGUACCCGCGGUUGUACCGGAGGAGCCUGAGGCGGCAGUAGCCGCCGUCCGAGAUGCAGUGGCUUCCGACGCGCACCGGGAAGAAGAGGAGCGGCUCUCCCGUCCACAUGCUAGGGUUCCGGCUGGCGACCCUCCGCUACGGCCGGCCCUACGCGCUCCCCACCUGCCCCGUCUCGCACCAGUAGCUGCCUGCGGACAAGCAGUAGAGUCUCAUGCUCUCCUACUUCCACUUCCAGAUGCUAGGCCUCUGCCUAAGGACCCUAGGACAGCUGCCCGGAGGGUACGGACUCGCCUAGUACUUCGGAGACAGGCACUCGACGGACCUCUCGUUCUAGCAGCAGCACCCGGCACCGGAGGUACACCACUAGCCGGUACAGUUCUUCGUUAGCCGACCGUUGCCGCCGCCGCCAAGAACACUGAUGAACCAAGCAACCGUCCUACACCUCCAAGGGUCCCGCAAGUCGCUAGAGUGCGGAAGCUCGUCAGUCUAAAAUGUACGAAUUUUGAGACGGAGGUCUUACUUUCGAGAGCAUCAGACGUUUUUUCGGAACAAAGUAUAAGCACAUACAACAAUGAUAAUCACCUGAGAAAGGACGACAGUAGAACAUAUAUAUUAGACGUUUACUACUACAUAGUCACUUCUUUGUCAAGCUUUGACAUGACAUGACAACAACAUUCAUCAUAUCUACAAAGACCCAUGACUUGAUUUGAAUUGACAACGUAAAGUGAAGAAUAGAAUGUGACUAGGCUGACCGACGACUUAAAGUUUGUCUACCUAUGAUGAAUAUUUAUACUCACGAUGAUGUAAACAUAAGACCGGAACCAGUUUGUUUGGACAUAAGUCAGAGGUAAACACGGUCUACUAACCUGCUUUUUAUAUUUAGGGGUAGAUGGAUGCACAUCCGUGACAGGUGGCGUUUGCGAUCAGGUGUUGUCGUGUUCUUGGGUUGGGUUUUACGGGAGAACAGAACACCGGUCGUAGUUAGGUGGUUGACUUUGGACUGUAACUUUUGUCCGUUGACUUGGUUAAAGUCUGUACCAAAAGUCGACGACGACGACGACGACUAUUUAGGACUUAAAAAGGGAACAGUUUUUGUUCAACGCCUCUAGCUUCGUCGUCGCGGCGUGGGCGGUUACCUCCGCGAGAUGGACGACCGCAGGGACCGGUGGUGGGAGGAGUGGAGGUGGGACGAGAGGGACGACGAGGAGGAGGCGGAGGGGAAGCGAGCGGCAAGGCGAGCUCCACCACCGCCGCGGCCGCGGUGCGCCGAGAUGCUCCCGGCGCAGGCCGUGAGCGCGGCCGCCGGCCGCCCCGUGCGGAAGCUCAUGCGGCACGCGAUGCGGGAGCACCUGGAGCUGGAGGAGGGGGAGAGGCCGAUGGAGAGGCGGCGGCUGCGGGCGGCGUAGCGGAGGUGGAGGCCUGGGCACGCAGAGGACUGCCAUGGGUUCUCGCACCCCAUGCUUGUCUUGGGUGAGUCGCAGAUGAUGACGAUACUGCGUCGCCGCGUUCUUGUUCUACUUGUGGAGUUCUACACGUAACGACUUCAGUGUUUAUGAGGGACCCCCCUCUUCCACUACAAAUGGAAGGUUGGCCCAAGACUAGAGCAACGUUUCGGAAAUGUACAGUCGGGGAAGUACCUAUACGAACCGUUAACCUCAUAAGCACGACUACGGGGUCCGUUAUUAGACAUGCAACGAUAACGCCAAGUCGUAGGAUGUGAACCCUUGAUAAAAUGACGUCGAAACCUACGGUUCAAUCAACCGGUGUGUUUACUGAGCCAAUUCGAUCGUUGUAAGAAGACCGACUACGGAGUAUUCCAACGGCGUCCCUAUAUGACCCUCCGGAAGUCCGAAACCAACUUCUUACACUCUAAGGAUCUGGUAGGCUCCAUGGACUCGCCCUCGAUGUCCAGGCUUCGAGACUUCGCGCUGGAACUCUAGGCAAGGAGGACGUCGAAGGACGUAGUCUUUGACUCUCUCUCGUAACCUUCUUCGCCGUGUCGUUGUUGGAUACUUUGUCGUCUUUUGAGUUUGGUAGUCCUAAUGUUUCUACCGCCUCCCUCGUAGCCCCGCUCCACCACGCAGACCUCCCUACGAGUUACCGGUACCACGACUACCAUUGUGGUUGUCCCUCUUUAGUUAAUAUCAUCUACUCUAAGAAAAAAACUUUACGAGGUUCGAUACAUACUAACUUAGUUUCGAUGAGGCAUAAAACAAAAGACCCCAUAGACUCUAGUUACCUUUCUGUGUAGAAUAGAAAAAAAAGAUAAAGGCAUGUAUAAAUACACAGUCCUAAAAAUCGUCACUAAAGGAGG
rnacentral:rRNA from 1 species